UACGUAGGGGACGAGCGUUGUCCGGAAUUAUUGGGCGUAAAGAGCUUGUAGGCGGUUUGUCGCGUCUGCUGUGAAAAUCCGGGGCUCAACCCAUCCAAGCAUUGGAAACUGGAGAACUUGAAUCAUGGAGAGGAAAGUGGAAUUCCUAGUGUAGCGGUGAAAUGCAUAGAUAUUAGGAGGAAUACCGGUGGCGAAGGCGACUUUCUGGACAUGUAUUGACGCUGAGGUACGAAAGCGUGGGGAGCAUACAGGAUUAGAUACCCUGGUA
rnacentral:rRNA from 1 species